rnacentral:rRNA from 1 species
GACGAACGCUGGCGGCGUGCUUAACACAUGCAAGUCGAACGGAAAGGCCCUGCUUUUGUGGGGUGCUCGAGUGGCGAACGGGUGAGUAACACGUGAGUAACCUGCCCUUGACUUUGGGAUAACUUCAUGAAACUGGGGCUAAUACCGGAUAGGAGCUCCUGCUGCAUGGUGGGGGUUGGAAAGUUUCGGCGGUUGGGGAUGGACUCGCGGCUUAUCAGCUUGUUGGUGGGGUAGUGGCUUACCAAGGCUUUGACGGGUAGCCGGCCUGAGAGGGUGACCGGCCACAUUGGGACUGAGAUACGGCACAGACUCCUACGGGAGGCAGCAGUGGGGAAUAUUGCACAAUGGGCGGAAGCCUGAUGCAGCAACGCCGCGUGCGGGAUGACGGCCUUCGGGUUGUAAACCGCUUUCGCCUGUGACGAAGCGUGAGUGACGGUAAUGGGUAAAGAAGCACCGGCUAACUACGUG